rnacentral:lncRNA from 1 species
UGGCACACAAAUAGUCUUCAAGCAAGGUUGCUUGAUGUGUUCAUGGGCUUGUGGGUUGUGGCGACAUGCGAUGUGAGCCACAUGAAGAGCAGCGCUUGCCUCUUGGGGCGUUGGGGUAAGAUUGUUGUAUUUUAUUAUUAUGCUUGGUUAGAACAUGUAAUGCAACUAAUGCGCACUCACCGGUGUUUUAUACCGGCCGUCUACCAAGGGGUACCCGAGGUAGCAGAAUGUGUAGCGGGGGAUCAUCG